rnacentral:rRNA from 1 species
GGAUGAACGCUGGCGGCGUGCCUAAUACAUGCAAGUCGAGCGAACGGACGAGAAGCUUGCUUCUCUGAUGUUAGCGGCGGACGGGUGAGUAACACGUGGAUAACCUACCUAUAAGACUGGGAUAACUUCGGGAAACCGGAGCUAAUACCGGAUGAUAUUUUGAACCGCAUGGUUCAAAAGUGAAAGACGGUCUUGCUGUCACUUAUAGAUGGAUCCGCGCUGCAUUAGCUAGUUGGUAAGGUAACGGCUUACCAAGGCAACGAUGCAUAGCCGACCUGAGAGGGUGAUCGGCCACACUGGAACUGAGACACGGUCCAGACUCCUACGGGAGGCAGCAGUAGGGAAUCUUCCGCAAUGGGCGAAAGCCUGACGGAGCAACGCCGCGUGAGUGAUGAAGGUCUUCGGAUCGUAAAACUCCGUUAUUAGGGAAGAACAUAUGUGUAAGUAACUGUGCACAUCUUGACGGUACCUAAUCAGAAAGCCACGGCUAACUACGUG